UCCAUUUCAUUUCCUCUUGCUGGUGUUGUUCGUCCCCGACCGCCGACCUAGAAAUUUCAGUUCAGAAACCCAAUCUUUGUUUCUUUCGCCUCUCUUCUGUGAUGAGAAUCAAACACAUUCGCACCUCUCUGUGUGCUGAGAGAGACUAGAUGCUGAUCAAAACGCUGCGUUUCGUCGGCGAUGGUCGAAAUCCGUAUCGGAAUGCAAUCAGACGUAUCUUCAAUGACCUCAGGGAACUUAUGUUGAACGAAUCAAAGCGGAAGUUGUGUAGUCUCCUGCUCAUGCUCUUUCCUUGAUAGCAACCGUACAAGGUCGCUUUCCAAAGUUUAGGAAAUGGUUCGGUCAGGAUUGACAAGUGGUCAGGGAUCAGUUUCCGAAAAAUCUGUAAUCAUCAGUUGUUUUGGUGGACACACGUUACUGUUCCAGUAACUGAACCAUAUGGAUGUGUAGUUCUAGGAUAGUUUCUAUCAAGGACAAUGGGUUUUAUGGAAAUACUAAUGGCCUUUUGAAUUUAGACUGUUGUAUCAUGUUACCUCUUGGGUGUGCAUUGAUUAGUAGCCUUUCUAUUCAAAACUGCAUACUAAUGAAAUCUUGUGGACAAUGGAUUGUAUGUGUUUCCAUUGAAUCAUUGGUACUAAUGUUCUCGUGCUUUUGAUUUAUAGUUGCCAUGUUUUCAGUCA